rfam:Triticum aestivum genome assembly, contig: Triticum_aestivum_CS42_TGACv1_scaffold_062093_1DL
UUGAUACUCCCUCCGUCCGGAAAUACUUGUCAUCAAAAUGAAUAAAUGGAGAUGUAUCUAGACGUAUUUCAGUUCUAGAUACAUCAUUUUUUAUCCAUUUUAAUGACAAGUAUUUUUGGACGGACGGAGUAGUUG